AGAGUUUGAUCCUGGCUCAGGAUGAACGCUAGCGACAGGCUUAACACAUGCAAGUCGAGGGGCAGCGGGGGCGAAGCUUGCUUCGCCUGCCGGCGACCGGCGCACGGGUGAGUAACACGUAUGCGACCUGCCCCCCGCAGGGGGAUAACCGGGAGAAAUCCCGACUAAUACCGCGUAACGCCGCGGGGCUGCAUGGCCCCGCGGCCAAAGGAAGCGAUUCCGGCGGGGGAUGGGCAUGCGGCGCAUUAGCUAGUCGGCGGGGUAACGGCCCACCGAGGCGACGAUGCGUAGGGGUUCUGAGAGGAAGGUCCCCCACACUGGUACUGAGACACGGACCAGACUCCUACGGGAGGCAGCAGUGAGGAAUAUUGGUCAAUGGGCGGGAGCCUGAACCAGCCAAGUCGCGUGAGGGAAGACGGUCCUACGGAUUGUAAACCUCUUUUGCCGGGGAGCAACGGGGUCCUUGCGAGGGCCCUAUGAGAGUACCCGGAGAAAAAGCAUCGGCUAACUCCGUGCCAGCAGCCGCGGUAAUACGGAGGAUGCGAGCGUUAUCCGGAUUUAUUGGGUUUAAAGGGUGCGUAGGCGGGCUGUUAAGUCAGCGGUCAAAUGUCGGGGCUCAACCCCGGCCUGCCGUUGAAACUGGCGGCCUCGAGUGGGCGAGAAGUAUGCGGAAUGCGUGGUGUAGCGGUGAAAUGCAUAGAUAUCACGCAGAACUCCGAUUGCGAAGGCAGCAUACCGGCGCCCUACUGACGCUGAGGCACGAAAGCGUGGGUAUCGAACAGGAUUAGAUACCCUGGUAGUCCACGCAGUAAACGAUGAAUGCUAGCUGUCCGGUUCUACGGGACUGGGUGGCACAGCGAAAGCGUUAAGCAUUCCACCUGGGGAGUACGCCGGCAACGGUGAAACUCAAAGGAAUUGACGGGGGCCCGCACAAGCGGAGGAACAUGUGGUUUAAUUCGAUGAUACGCGAGGAACCUUACCCGGGCUCAAACGCCAAAGGACAGCCGCUGAAAGGCGGCCUCCCUCCGGGGUCUUUGGCGAGGUGCUGCAUGGUUGUCGUCAGCUCGUGCCGUGAGGUGUCGGCUUAAGUGCCAUAACGAGCGCAACCCCCAUCGACAGUUGCUAACGGGUAGAGCCGAGGACUCUGUCGAGACUGCCGGCGCAAGCUGCGAGGAAGGCGGGGAUGACGUCAAAUCAGCACGGCCCUUACGUCCGGGGCGACACACGUGUUACAAUGGCCGGUACAGCGGGAUGCCAGGGCGCGAGCCCGAGCGGAACCCGAAAACCGGUCUCAGUUCGGAUUGGAGUCUGCAACCCGACUCCAUGAAGCUGGAUUCGCUAGUAAUCGCGCAACAGCCACGGCGCGGUGAAU
rnacentral:rRNA from 1 species